rnacentral:snRNA from 1 species
AAAGAUGGAUGCCCAUUAUAAGA